UUCAAGAUAGCUCAGACAGUAGAGCAUGGGAUUCUUAAUCUCAGGGUCUGGGUUCGAGCUCCACAUUGUGCAAAA